UUAAGUUCAGCGGGUAUCCCUACCUGAUCCGAGGUCAACCUUGAGGUGAUGGGUUCUCGAGGCCGAGCGGCGUCUCACCUAGAAAGCUGGAGAUUUACUACGCUUGAGGUUCAACACCACCGCCGAUUACUUUAGGGCGCGUCCACAGCAGGGACGGCACCCAAUACCAAGCAGGGCUUGAUGGUUGAUAAUGACGCUCG
rnacentral:misc_RNA from 1 species